CGGCGAGUGGCGAACGGGUGAGUAAUACAUCGGAACGUGUCCUGUAGUGGGGGAUAGCCCGGCGAAAGCCGGAUUAAUACCGCAUACGAUCUACGGAUGAAAGCGGGGGAUCGCAAGACCUCGCGCUAUAGGGGCGGCCGAUGGCGGAUUAGCUAGUUGGUGGGGUAAAGGCCCACCAAGGCGACGAUCCGUAGCUGGUCUGAGAGGACGACCAGCCACACUGGGACUGAGACACGGCCCAGACUCCUACGGGAGGCAGCAGUGGGGAAUUUUGGACAAUGGGCGCAAGCCUGAUCCAGCAAUGCCGCGUGUGUGAAGAAGGCCUUCGGGUUGUAAAGCACUUUUGUCCGGAAAGAAAUCCUCUGGGUUAAUACCCCGGGGGGAUGACGGUACCGGAAGAAUAAGCACCGGCUAACUACGUGCCAGCAGCCGCGGUAAUACGUAGGGUGCGAGCGUUAAUCGGAAUUACUGGGCGUAAAGCGUGCGCAGGCGGUGAUGUAAGACCGAUGUGAAAUCCCCGGGCUUAACCUGGGAACUGCAUUGGUGACUGCAUCGCUGGAGUAUGGCAGAGGGGGGUAGAAUCCACGUGUAGCAGUGAAAUGCGUAGAGAUGUGGAGGAAUACCGAUGGCGAAGGCA
rnacentral:rRNA from 1 species